UAGGGAAUCUUCCACAAUGGACGCAAGUCUGAUGGAGCAACGCCGCGUGAGUGAAGAAGGUUUUCGGAUCGUAAAGCUCUGUUGUUGGUGAAGAAGGAUAGAGGCAGUAACUGGUCUUUAUUUGACGGUAAUCAACCAGAAAGUCACGGCUAACUACGUGCCAGCAGCCGCGGUAAUACGUAGGUGGCAAGCGUUGUCCGGAUUUAUUGGGCGUAAAGCGAGCGCAGGCGGAAUGAUAAGUCUGAUGUGAAAGCCCACGGCUCAAC
rnacentral:rRNA from 1 species